GACCCCAUGAAGUCGGAAUUGCUAGUAAUCGCGGAUCAGCAUGCCGCGGUGAAUACGUUCUCGGGUCUUGUACA
rnacentral:rRNA from 1 species